rnacentral:lncRNA from 1 species
UUAUUUUUUCUCAGUCAUCUUGCCGAGAAAGAUCCUACUUCAGAGCUGAAGGUAAGCACAUUUUGUAUACAUUUCUCACCUUCUCAAGUGCUCUGGACUCGGAAUAGAAAAGCUAGGAACAAACCUAAGAAAUAGCUACAUCUCAGGCCUUCCAAAUCCUCUUUUUUUUUUCUUUUCUUUUAUUGGAUAUUUUCCUUAUUUGUAUUUCAAAUGUUAUCCCCUUUCCCUGUCUCCCCUCCACAAACUCCCUAUCCCACCCCCUCCCCCUUGCUUCUAUGAGGGGGUUCCCCCACCACCCACCAACCCACUCCCACCUCCCUACCCUGGCAUUCCCCUACACUGGGGCAUUAAGCCUUCACAGGACCAAGGACCUCUCCUCCCACAAAGCCAUCCUUUGCUACAUAUGCCGUUGGAGCCAUGGGCCACUCCAUGUGUACUCUUUGGUUGGUGGUUUAGUCCCUGGGAGCUCGGGGCAGGGGAUGUCUGGUUGGUUGAUAUUGUUGUUCUUCCUAUGGGAUUGCAAACCCCUUCAGCUCCUUCAGUCCUUUCUCUAAAUCCUCCAUUGGGGACCCCAUGCUCUCAGUCCAAUGGCUGGCUAUGAGCAUCUGCCAAAUUCUCUUAAUUGUGGUUCAUCCUUCUUAAGGAAGUAUCUUAUUUCUUAAUUAAAGUAUGACAAUAAAAUCUAUUACUUCUCUGUCUAACUGAAACUUUCUUCUCUACUAAUGAAUUUAUUAAUUUUUCUGUUUGUCUUUAUUAUAGCUUAUUCAAUUAUAAAGUCUAUUAAAUUACUAUGAACUCUACUCAGGAAUUACAGCAGAAUUUACUAAUUGAACUAAGGUUGAAAUUAAGAUCGUUUUCUUCAACCUCUUUCAGUACCAUCCUUUUUACCCGGUUAACCUUUUAAAACAGGAUAAUUUUUUGCCAAAAGACCAGGGGAGUUGCCACAUGAUGGCUCCCUGCAACUCUAUCACUAGCACAGCACAUAUGACUGCAGCAACUGGGGCAUAGAAUAAUCAAUUUAAGCCUAUCUAUGAUCCUCUGCUCCCCAAAGUGACCAACAGUUGGAACAUGCAUUCAAGGGAAGACUCAGCACACUCAUGACUUUGUCCACCUGGCUGUCGUGGAACAUACAGAGUCCAAAGGAGAUGGGGAUGGGAAGGGUCCUUAGAGGGGGCUGAGAGAAGGGCCUUGAGCCAGACUGGAAAGAAGAGGCCUCCUUCUCUGCACUCCCAGGAGGAGAGAGAGGUUCUUGCUCACUUGUUCAUGCAUUGAGCAACCCUGUUUACUGGAUUCCUAUGCACUGGCCUAGUUUCAAGUUGAAGUCGGAGGACUGGGGCCCCAGGGGGGAGCCCCCAGAACAAGAACAUUAUGUUGCUGUAAUGAAGCCUCGCAGCAGCUCCUGGAAAGAACGAAAUCUGUGAGGUUGCAAAGAGCCGCAAACCUUUUUUUUUGGUGGGAUCCCCUCGGGCCAGGGGCAGGACAAGGGAGGGCAGAAACUGGGUGAGUAGCUUCAAAAAGAUUCUUGCCUGCCAGCUGCAAUUGGGUCCCUCCUAUCACAACAAGAGAUUUGCUUUCUGUGGCCUUGCAAUAACUCAAAGCAGC